GGGGACGUCAUGGUUUCGACAGCAGGUGCAAUUGACUUGUAAGCAUACCGUGUGUUGUGAAUAUGACACGAUAAUCCUAAUUCUCACAAAAUUCAACUGGCGAAUCUGAUUUCGCUCUUGCCGCUUAAUACCAAGUAUUAACCCGCAAUGCUCCGUUGGGUAGCGUGUCACUGUUGCGACCCGACCUGAGCAUCGUAAAUACAGUGAUAGUUGUACAUGGCUUUGCUGUGCAAUGAAAUUUAAAAAGCUAAGCAAAACUUUGGUGCGUGCGUUUACCUGAGCUUUGACGAAAAUUAAAAAUGUACUAAGUAUGUAGAAAGCUUGCCGAUUACUUGUUUGGACGUGGGUUCGAAUCCCACCGUCUCCACAA
rnacentral:tmRNA from 1 species